CUUGAAACACGGACCAAGGAGUCUAGCAUGUGCGCAAGUCAUUGGAACUUGCUAAAUCUAUAGACACAAUGAAAGUGAAGGCGCGCCUUGCGCGCGCCGAGGGAGGAUGGGUCGGGCCACGGCCCGGCCCCGCACUCCCGGGGCGUUUCUUUCUCAUCGCGAGAUGAGGCGCACCCAUAGCGUACACGCUGGGACCCGAAAGAUGGUGAACUAUGCCUGGUCAGGACGAAGUCAGGGGAAACCCUGAUGGAGGUCCGUAGCGAUUCUGACGUGCAAAUCGAUCGUCGGAACUGGGUAUAGGGGCGAAAGACUAAUCGAACCGUCUAGUAGCUGGUUCCCUCCGAAGUUUCCCUCAGGAUAGCUGGCGCUCGCUUUGCGAGUCUCAUCCGGUAAAGCGAAUGAUUAGAGGCAUUGGGGUCGAAACGGCCUCAACCUAUUCUCAAACUUUAAAUGGGUGAGAUCUCCGGCUUGCUUGAACGCUGAAGCCGCGAGAUAUUCACAUUCGGAUCAGAGUGCCAAGUGGGCCAUUUUUGGUAAGCAGAACUGGCGCUGUGGGAUGAACCAAACGUAGAGUUAAAGCGCCAAAAUCGACGCUUAUGGGAUACCAUGAAAGGCGUUGGUAACUUAAGACAGCAGGACG
rnacentral:rRNA from 1 species